GUACUAGCUGUCAGCUGCUGGAGACCUUGCUUUCUGUUUCACUGGGAAACAGAAGCAAUCAGAAGGAAACUUCCUCAGACUCCACCUCUCCCUUCACUCCCGCCUGUAUCCGUGCCUGUUACCUGGACGCCUUGUGGAACUUGAAUUCUACGCCCUCCACUGGGACACUGCCCUUCAUCCUCUCUCACCUCCUCCAGGACAACACUCUCUCUGUGGGGCUUUCACCCCCAUCGCUCCACUGAAACUGCUCUUGUCAAGGUCAUCGAUGACCUCCCGCUGACAAACUCAACUGUCCCAUCUCUACACCCCAAACUGACCCAUCAGGAAUAGCAUGAGCUCCACCUUCCAAAGCUUCCGCAAUCUCACCGUCUCCACCGUUACUACCUGUGUCCGAGGCACCACUGUUUCUUGCCUGGAGUUGUAGACGGGAUUUCACCGUGUUAGCCAGGAUGGUCUCGAUCUCCUGACCUCGUGAUCCGCCUGUCUCGACCUCCCAAAGUGCUGGGAUUACAGAAUGUUGUAGUCCUCAUCAUCAGCAGAGACUUUGUGCCAUCCUCUGCUAUAUUAUCCUGAAGAGUGCCUGGCUCAUGCUCCAGGCUGCGGAUUUUAUUGAGAGAACGGAGACUGCUGGUGAACUCUCAAGAGGGUUAAUUGGAGUUUUAUCAAGCCAGAUUUCAUGGUGUCUGCUUAAUGUUAAUCUCUCCAAGCUUCCCACCAGACUGCAAAGGCUGAGCUGCAGUGUUCUGAAUAGCAGUCCAGCUAUGAGGGGAGGUGCCCGUGGCAGGCCUCAGCUGACCCUGGAGAGGCCAUUAAGACCUGGCUGUCGCCUCCACAGCUGCUCGGAGGCAGAGAAAGGUGGCUUUGUAAGAAGAAAAGAGAUCAUUCUUUUUCCACCAUGUGAGGACCCAGCAAGAGGGUGGCUGUCUGCAAACCCAGGGAGAGAGCCCUCACCAGGAAUCUGCUGGCACCUUAAUCUUGGACUUCCCAGCCUCCACAACUGUGAGGAAUAAAUGUAUGUUGUUUAAGCCA
ensembl:lncRNA MDS2 myelodysplastic syndrome 2 translocation associated